rnacentral:rRNA from 1 species
CCUACGGGAGGCAGCAGUGAGGAAUAUUGCGCAAUGGAGGAAACUCUGACGCAGCCACGCCGCGUGGUGGAUGACACCCCUAUGGGGCGUAAACACCUUUUAUGAGAGAAGAAGUCCCUAUUCGAUAGGGUUUGACGGUACCUCAUGAAUAAGCACCGGCUAACUCCGUGCCAGCAGCCGCGGUAAUACGGAGGGUGCAAGCGUUGUCCGGAAUCACUGGGUGUAAAGGGUGUGUAGGCGGAGCUGUAAGUCAGAGGUGAAAUCCUGCGGCUUAACCGUAGAACUGCCUUUGAUACUGCAGCCCUUGAGUAUCGGAGAGGUUGCUGGAAUUCGUGGUGUAGCGGUGAAAUGCGUAGAUAUCACGAGGAACAUCAGAGGCGUAGGCGGGCAACUGGACGAUUACUGACGCUGAGGCACGAAAGCGUGGGGAGCAAACAGGAUUAGAUACCCUGGUAGUCCACGCCGUAAACGAUGGAUGCUCGGUGUCGCCCUCUUAGAGGGGCGGUGCCUAAGCUAACGCGUUAAGCAUCCCACCUGGGGAGUACGCUCGCAAGANUGAAACUCAAANGAAUUGACGG